GGUUAAGCGACUAAGCGUACACGGUGGAUGCCCUGGCAGUCAGAGGCGAUGAAGGACGUGCUAAUCUGCGAAAAGCGUCGGUAAGGUGAUAUGAACCGUUAUAACCGGCGAUGUCCGAAUGGGGAAACCCAGUGCAAUUCGUUGCACUAUCGUUAACUGAAUACAUAGGUUAACGAGGCGAACCGGGGGAACUGAAACAUCUAAGUACCCCGAGGAAAAGAAAUCAACCGAGAUUCCCC
rnacentral:rRNA from 1 species